rnacentral:rRNA from 1 species
CGCAAGCCCUUGACGGAGCAAUACCGCGUGAGGGAAAAAGGCCUUCGGUUUGUAAACCUCUUUUAUCAAGGAGGAAAUUUUGACGUGUACUUGAUGAAUAAGCAUCGGCUAACUCCGUGCCAGCAGCCGCGGUAAGACGGAGGAUGCGAGUGUUAUCCGGAAUCAUUGGCCGUAAAGCGUCUGUAGGUGGUUUAAAAAGUCUAUAGUUAAAUAUUGAAGCUUAACUUCAAAACUGUUUUAGAAACUUUUAGACUUGAGUGUGUUAGGGGUAAAGGGAACUUCCAGUGUAGCGGUGAAAUGCGUAGAUAUUGGAAAGACCACCGAUGGCGAAGGCACUUUGCUGGGCCACAACUGACACUGAGAGACGAAAGCUAAGGGGAGCA